CAACAACCAUCAGAGAGUUUGUUGGACCUUAGAUCUGGUGGAGCUGCACUGGACUGUACAAUAGGCUUAUUACUAAAUGUGGAAACAAACCGUAACAAACAGAGCUGACGUCAGAGGAGUAAAACUGGAAAGACAAAAUUCAAUGUCACAUUCAUGAAAGUCCGGAUGACAGCAGAAAAUGGUUGAGACAGGAGGAGGACGAGUGAGGAUGACAGCGGAGCCAGAAUAAAUCUAUUUGUAUCUACUGGAAGAAAUUUCUAAUUCAACAGAGUUUAUCCAUACUUUACAGACUGAAAUACCGGCGAGGACAGAUGAUCUGCUUUGCUGUGUUUCAUCAACCAACAUCAAGCUUAAAUCCAACAGUGACCUCAGCUCCAGUCAUCCAGGAUCGCGUCAACGCCAGUCCCAACCCCCAGGGUCGACUCAGUCCCCAUCCCCUAUAGCUCCUGAGCCAGCUCCAGCUCACAUCUCUGCUCCCGAGCCUGCUCCAGUCCAUGUCUCUGUGCCAGCUACUGUUUCCAGCCUAAGUUUUAAGCUCUGGACUUUGACAUUGUGUUAUGUGUUUGUGUUCUGUCCCUCUGUCUGUGCCCCCUCCACCUGCCCAGUUCUGUUUUUGAAUUUUAGACGGAUGUCUGUGAUCCGACCUUUGAGGGGGGGUCUCUGUCAUGAUUAUAUCUGUCUGUUCCAUGUUUUCAGUUUCCUGUUUUAUUUUGUAAAGUUUCUUAGUUUCCUGUUGGGUGUUGCUCCCUGUGUUUUCCAUGGAUUGCUUAUGGGUUUCUCCUUGUGUGCUCCGCCCUCAUCAGUUCCAGUCAUCCUGUCACAGUGUUUUUCGUGCACUUAGGUCCACGCCUCCACCACCCUUUGUGACAGGAACAUUACAUGACGGAACAAUAUAUGAAGGGUCUUCUAUGAACAACUAUUUAGAUGUUAUCACAGCAUAUUGUAUUAUGUGUACUCAUUCUAUAUUUUAUCACAUAUAGAUAUUUGAUAAAUUAAGUGAUUAUAAAUAAAGAUUAUUGCAUUAUGA